rnacentral:rRNA from 1 species
GACGAACGCUGGCGGCGUGCUUAACACAUGCAAGUCGAGCGGAGCGGCGAACGGGUGAGUAACGCGUGAGUAACUGCCCCCCUCUCUGGGAUCACAGUUGGAAACGGCUGCCAAUACCGGAUAGUGGGGGAUGACUCGCGGCCUAUCUGCUUGUUGGUGGGGUAGUGGCCUACCAAGGCGACGACGGGUAGCCGGCCUGCGAGGGCGACCGGCCACAUUGGGCUGAGAUACGGGCCAAACUCCUACGGGAGGCAGCAGGGGGGAAUAUUGUACAAUGGGGGAAACCCUGAUGCAGCAACCCGCGUGCGUGAUGACGGCCUUCGGUUUGUAAACCGCUUUCAGCCAGGACGCGGUAGUGGCAGAAGAAGCACCGGCUAACUACGUGCCAGCAGCCGCGGUAAUUC